AACUGCUGGAUUUUGGAAAAGGACAUCUAACUUCAAUAAGGAUUAACUGAAGGUUUGGACAAGGCCGCAUUAUACUGAUAACUCAGGAUUACAUUGAUGUGGACUCCUGAAAAGGAGUUUAUUUUGGAAAUCCACUACCCAUUAUUAACUGCUGGAUAUUGGAAAAGUACAUCUAACAUCUAAUAAGGACGAACUGAAGGUUUGGACAAGGCUGCAUUAUACAGAUAACUCAGGAUUACAUUGAUGUGGACUCCUGGUAAGAAGCUUUGAACUCUACCAAGCCUACUGUGGUCAACCUUCUGGACUUAUUUUAAAUCACACUGGGAAGAGGGCAUUUGUAAAUAUUGAGUUUAUUGUGUAUAUAGGAGUUCAUUUGUUCAGUUUUGUUUUGUUUUAAAUACACUAAUACAGUUUUUUGUUUAA